UACGUAGGGUGCAAGCGUUGUCCGGAAUUAUUGGGCGUAAAGAGCUCGUAGGCGGUCUGUCGCGUCGGCUGUGAAAACUCGGGGCUCAACUCCGAGCUUGCAGUCGAUACGGGCAGGCUAGAGUUCGGCAGGGGAGACUGGAAUUCCUGGUGUAGCGGUGAAAUGCGCAGAUAUCAGGAGGAACACCGGUGGCGAAGGCGGGUCUCUGGGCCGAUACUGACGCUGAGGAGCGAAAGCAUGGGGAGCGAACAGG
rnacentral:rRNA from 1 species